AGGUGCAGAGUAGAGCCCUGUGCAAGAUUAUACUCUAUGUCCCACUCCCACUGAAAUUCUGACCAUUCCCGUCUGUGCCCGCAACGUGUUACAGUCCCGCCUGCUCCCACAAUGGGUGUGUCCAGUCCUGCUCGUACCCGCAAAUCGCUGAGCGCACAACAAUAGCGAUGCAUCGAUUUUGUGUAUUCUUCCAUCCUGUGGGAGAAAACAUGUCAUUUAGGCUAUUAAUAAAGAAAUUCUUGGGAUUGUUUGUCUCGUUGAAUCCCUGGCCUCUCAGAGAGAGAGAA